GACGAACGCUGGCGGCGUGCUUAACACAUGCAAGUCGAACGAUGAUGCCAGCUUGCUGGUGGAUUAGUGGCGAACGGGUGAGUAACACGUGAGCAGCCUGCCCCUGACUUCGGGAUAACCGCGGGAAACCGUGGCUAAUACCGGAUAUGACGCGCUAUCGCAUGGUGGUGUGUGGAAAGAUUUAUCGGUUGGGGAUGGGCUCGCGGCCUAUCAGCUUGUUGGUGGGGUGAUGGCCUACCAAGGCGACGACGGGUAGCCGGCCUGAGAGGGUGACCGGCCACACUGGGACUGAGACACGGCCCAGACUCCUACGGGAGGCAGCAGUGGGGAAUAUUGCACAAUGGGCGCAAGCCUGAUGCAGCGACGCCGCGUGAGGGAUGACGGCCUUCGGGUUGUAAACCUCUUUCAGUAGGGAAGAAGGCCUUCGGGUUGACGGUACCUGCAGAAGAAGCGCCGGCUAACUACGUG
rnacentral:rRNA from 1 species